CUUGAAAUACCACCCUUUAAUGUUUGAUGUUCUAACGUGGGCCCCUUACCGGGGUUGCGGACAGUGUCUGGUGGGUAGUUUGACUGGGGCGGUCUCCUCCUAAAGAGUAACGGAGGAGCACGAAGGUUGGCUAAUCCUGGUCGGACAUCAGGAGGUUAGUGCAAUGGCAUAAGCCAGCUUGACUGCGAGCGUGACGGCGCGAGCAGGUGCGAAAGCAGGUCAUAGUGAUCCGGUGGUUCUGAAUGGAAGGGCCAUCGCUCAACGGAUAAAAGGUACUCCGGGGAUAACAGGCUGAUACCGCCCAAGAGUUCAUAUCGACGGCGGUGUUUGGCACCUCGAUGUCGGCUCAUCACAUCCUGGGGCUGAAGUAGGUCCCAAGGGUAUGGCUGUUCGCCAUUUAAAGUGGUACGCGAGCUGGGUUUAGAACGUCGUGAGACAGUUCGGUCCCUAUCUGCCGUGGGCGCUGGAGAACUGAGGGGGGCUGCUCCUAGUACGAGAGGACCGGAGUGGACGCAUCACUGGUGUUCGGGUUGUCAUGCCAAUGGCACUGCCCGGUAGCUAAAUGCGGAAGAGAUAAGUGCUGAAAGCAUCUAAGCACGAAACUUGCCCCGAGAUGAGUUCUCCCUGACUCCUUGAGAGUCCUGAAGGAACGUUGAAGACGACGACGUUGAUAGGCCGGGUGUGUAAGCGCAGCGAUGCGUUGAGCUAACCGGUACUAAUGAACCGUGAGGCUUAACCUU
rnacentral:rRNA from 1 species